AUUGAACGCUGGCGGCAUGCCUUACACAUGCAAGUCGAACGGUAACAGGUCUUCGGAUGCUGACGAGUGGCGAACGGGUGAGUACUACAUCGGAACGUGCCUAGUAGUGGGGGAUAACUACUCGAAAGAGUGGCUAAUACCGCAUGAGAUCUACGGAUGAAAGCAGGGGAUCGCAAGACCUUGUGCUACUAGAGCGGCCGAUGGCAGAUUAGGUAGUUGGUGGGAUAAAAGCUUACCAAGCCGACGAUCUGUAGCUGGUCUGAGAGGACGAGCAGCCACACUGGGACUGAGACACGGCCCAGACUCCUACGGGAGGCAGCAGUGGGGAAUUUUGGACAAUGGGCGCAAGCCUGAACCAGCAAUGCCGCGUGCAGGAUGAAGGCCUUCGGGUUGUAAACUGCUUUUGUACGGAACGAAAAGCCCUGGGUUAAUACCCUGGGGUCAUGACGGUACCGUAAGAAUAAGCACCGGCUAACUACGUGCCAGCAGCCGCGGUAA
rnacentral:rRNA from 1 species